UACGUAGGGUGCAAGCGUUGUCCGGAAUUAUUGGGCGUAAAGAGCUCGUAGGCGGUUUGUCGCGUCUGCUGUGAAAUCUGGAGGCUCAACCUCCAGCCUGCAGUGGGUACGGGCAGACUAGAGUGCGGUAGGGGAGAUUGGAACUCCUGGUGUAGCGGUGGAAUGCGCAGAUAUCAGGGAGAACACCGAUGGCGAAGGCAGAUCUCUGGGCCGUAACUGACGCUGAGGAGCGAAAGCAUGGGGAGCGAACAGG
rnacentral:rRNA from 1 species